UGAACGUUCACAUCAUGACUCAGUCCAGGUGCUCACUUAUUAAUCCAGUUCAGACUCAGGAAACACAGCCAAAUAUCAACCAACUCAGUUUUCUCACCUUUGGCAGUACUUGACAAGUUUGGCUGACUCUGUCUUACAAAGCCUCAAACAGAUGCAUUCAGCUUGCUGCUGGUCUCCCAAGUUCCCAAGUGCCAGAACAAGGUAGCCAAGAGUGAUCAGCUGUGGAGAAACCUGUGUCUGAGAAAAUGGAGCUUCUGCAUCUUCUCCAGUCAGUGCCUGGGCGCACAGACACACAGCAGUGUUCCUCAGACAAAGCAGGAGUGCUGGAUGACGCUGGCACAUCAGACACUCUGUCUACAAAGCAGCAGCUGGGAACCUCAGUGUACGGCAGAGAGUACGCUAGAGGAGCAACACCAUGAAUUUCAUUGGCCUUUCUUGACGUGACAUCAGUUGUGUGUAUUUUCAUGCUACUUCUCUCCAUGCAUGAGGAACCCAGGCAUUUCAAGUUGAGAAAACAUUUCACAGCAGAAGCUAAAUAUUCUGAACUUGCAAGCAACAAGAUGAGAAACAUGAUCUCUCUGUUUCAGAUUCACAGAUACUUUACAGGGGCCAUCUCAGAGUAAUACUCUUCUUGAGGUAUAUACAACAUAGAAAAACCUGCAUAUGAUUUUAUCACACAACAUGGAUUUUAAAAAAUGUCAAGGGAAGCUAAUGACUCUGGAAACAGCAUGGGACCUGGUGGGGCAAGUACGGAAUCAAAACCAAACCCUCCACAGCCUCCGAGUCUGGAAAAACAUCUUGACUUUUUACUUCAGGUACACCUGAGUCUUCUGGGGCAACAAAUGGGAAAUCACAGCUCUACCAACAAGCACCAACUUGAUAUUUUAGAGUCUUGCUUUUUUUCUUCCUACAACUCAGACAGGUUUUUUUAAGUCUUAGCAGAAUGGCUAGACUAGGUAAUCCACAUAAGCAGCUGCUGCAAUGUGAUCUUUUUCUAACAUUUUAAUGUAGAGCUGUGAACUUUCCUGGCUUUGGGCUAUGUUGGGAACAUUUGGAGUAAACUUACUUGAUUUAAAGGCUAUUGCUAUUAGAACUCUGUCUGAUCUGCCUCAGAUGGAGGGUCUGCACCAAUCACUCAUGAUAUCAAACUACACUGGAAAUGGAAAGCAGCUGAUAUAUGAAUUGUCUUCAACUACUGAUUCUAUGCACUUAAAAAAAACCCUUAAGAUUAUUUCCUUAUUUUUAAUUUCCUUAAGUGUAAUAGAAUUUUAUUUUCCAGAUCUCAAAUAUUUACUCAUCUCCUGCUCAUCGGCCUCUAGGACUGAGUGAUCACCCAUGUGUUGUAGAAGGAAAAUUCUCAAGCUUUGACAUUCAACUACCUGGGUUCCAAACUCAACUGUACCACUUAGCAGCUCUGUGCCCAGUCACGUCAACUCUUUGCAGCCCCAUGGACUAUAGUCCACCAGGCUCCUCUGCCCAUGGAAUUUUCCAGCCCAUCUGUGUCUCCUUGGUUCAAUCCAAGAAAGAUAAGAAAUGGGAGAAAUCAAGACAGAAGAGGAAGAGAAAUGCCAGAUGCGGGAAAAGAGGAGAAAGGCUACUGUGAGAAGACAGUCCAAAGUUGGGAAAAAGGGAAGACUGAGUUUUAAUCGAGUUCAAAGUUUUGAUUAUUUCAUAAAACUGGACACUGUGAAUAACUCCAUUGAGAAUGCAUUUUUUUUACUUUAAAGGACCAAAAUGUCAUGGAACUGUAUGUUUUCAUCUGCGGAAGGAAAAGAAUUUUCACUACUUAAAUGCUUUUAAAGGGACAGUGGGAAACGAAAGACUGCAGUUGGUUUUGCCCGAUCCCAGCUUGGACUUGCUUUUGGGAACCUUGCAUGAAGUGACUUUAAAAGGGUCACCUGGUAAACAGGUGAAUGGCUAUCUGUGGCAUAAGUGAUGCGAUAGGUCCUGAGGAGGCAUACUUUCCCUGCAAACAACUCCUUUGUUCCAGUGCUAAAAGUCCACCAUUAGAGAGCCAGUCACUUUUAGGCCUACCAUACUAUCCUCAUCAGUCCUGUUUCUAAAAUACACAAUCUAGUGAAAG
ensembl:lncRNA